rnacentral:miRNA from 1 species
CAGCCCCAUACUAACGGAUAGGCUGCUCCUUUUACUGUUCUAGAACAGUAAAAGGAGCAGCCUAUCCGUUAGUAUGGGGCUG